GACUUUUCUGCAUGUGUUUUGGUUUCUGGUUUUCUUCAUCAAUUUCAUCCUGUCUGUUGCCACCUUUCCUUUAAAGGUUCUUUAUAAUUUCUGAUAAAUACUCUUCGCUACAAUGGUUUUAACAGGAGAAAAAGAAGUCAAGUCAGAAGAAGGGUAAUAACACAAAAUCCUGCCCGAAGGGAAUAAUUCUGCUCCAAAAAUUUAUUUGACUUAGCAGAUAUCACUUUGUUCCUGUGAUGUGGAAUGCUGCCAUGCCUGUGAAAUUGUAAGUUUAUAUUUUAAAGAAGUCUGAGAACUUGCCCACUUAGAAGCUGACAGAAC
rnacentral:lncRNA from 1 species